GUGCUGAUAUUCAGCACUCCCUCUCGUGUGAUAUUGCUUAACGGACGUAAGUUCAUCACAUUAUCUAGCUACAUAAGGGAGGCAGGCCUAUAUAACUAAAAAGUCAAAAACGGUCCAAAUCUUUGAGUCAUCUAACAACACCAUGAAUGAAGAUGGAAUGGAUGACAGAUAUCCAGGCAUGGAUCAUAUAGCAAUCGCAGUAUUAAAAGCUGGUAAAAUAAGCAGACAUGCUGCAGGAUUUACGUGAUCUCUUUCUCGGGCCAGAGCACUUCUUCAGAAGGAGAACCAUUUGGAGAUUUACUCAUGGUGAAAAUGAGGGUCAAGAAUCAGACAUGUGUAGACCAGGCACCUCCUCUGGGACCUGUGAUUUCAGCCUCCCCCCCCCCCCCCC